rnacentral:rRNA from 1 species
UUUUUAUGAGAGUUUGAUCCUGGCUCAGGACGAACGCUGGCGGCGUGCCUAAUACAUGCAAGUCGAACGCUUCUUUUUCCACCGGAGCUUGCUCCACCGGAAAAAGAGGAGUGGCGAACGGGUGAGUAACACGUGGGUAACCUGCCCAUCAGAAGGGGAUAACACUUGGAAACAGGUGCUAAUACCGUAUAACAAUCGAAACCGCAUGGUUUUGAUUUGAAAGGCGCUUUCGGGUGUCGCUGAUGGAUGGACCCGCGGUGCAUUAGCUAGUUGGUGAGGUAACGGCUCACCAAGGCCACGAUGCAUAGCCGACCUGAGAGGGUGAUCGGCCACAUUGGGACUGAGACACGGCCCAAACUCCUACGGGAGGCAGCAGUAGGGAAUCUUCGGCAAUGGACGAAAGUCUGACCGAGCAACGCCGCGUGAGUGAAGAAGGUUUUCGGAUCGUAAAACUCUGUUGUUAGAGAAGAACAAGGAUGAGAGUAACUGUUCAUCCCGUGACGGUAUCUAACCAGAAAGCCACGGCUAACUACGUGCCAGCAGCCGCGGUAAUACGUAGGUGGCAAGCGUUGUCCGGAUUUAUGGGGCGUAAAGCGAGCGCAAGCGGUUUCUUAAGUCUGAUGUGAAAGCCCCCGGCUCAACCGGGGAGGGUCAUUGGAAACUGGGAGACUUGAGUGAAGAAGAGGAGAGUGGAAUUCCAUGUGUAGCGGUGAAAUGCGUAGAUAUAUGGAGGAACACCAGUGGCGAAGGCGGCUCUCUGGUCUGUAACUGACGCUGAGGCUCGAAAGCGUAGGGAUCUAACAGGAUUAUAUACCCUGGUAGUCUACGCCGUAACCGAAGAGUGCUAAGUGUUUGAGGUUUUCCGCCCUUCAGUGCUGCAUCUAACGCAUUAAGCACUACGCCUGGGGAGUACGACCGCAAGGUUGAAACUCAAAGGAAUUAACGG